rnacentral:rRNA from 1 species
AACGAACGCUGGCGGCAGGCCUAACACAUGCAAGUCGAACGCAUCGCAAGAUGAGUGGCGCACGGGUGAGUAACACGUGGGAAUGUGCCCUUUGGUUCGGAAUAACGUCUGGAAACGGACGCUAAUACCGGAUGUCCCCUGCGGGGGAAAGAUUUAUCGCCAAAGGAGCAGCCCGCGUCUGAUUAGGUUGUUGGUGGGGUAAAGGCCUACCAAGCCGACGAUCAGUAGCUGGUCUGAGAGGAUGAUCAGCCACACUGGGACUGAGACACGGCCCAGACUCCUACGGGAGGCAGCAGUGGGGAAUAUUGGACAAUGGGCGCAAGCCUGAUCCGGCCAUGCCGCGUGAGUGAUGAAGGCCUUAGGGUUGUAAAGCUCUUUCAGUGGGGACGAUAAUGACGGUACCCACAGAAGAAGCCCCGGCUAACUUCGUGCCAGCCGCCGCGGUAACAC